rfam:Populus trichocarpa scaffold_5_contig_330, whole genome shotgun sequence.
UCUAGAACUCAAGAUAUGAACUGAAAACCGAACAGUGUCUAAGCUGCAUGACAGAUUCUGACUUCUCCGUUGUUGCUAAGAUUUGAACUUGAAAAUGGCAGAAUUGAGUCUUGGACUCCUCAUGAAAGUUUUAGGUCUAUGUCUUAGCUUUCCAUC